UACGUAGGGGGCAAGCGUUAUCCGGAAUUAUUGGGCGUAAAGAGUGCGUAGGUGGUUUUGUAAGCGCGGGGUGAAAGGCAAUGGCUCAACUAUUGUAAGCCCUGCGAACUGCAAGACUUGAGUGCAGGAGAGGAAAGCGGAAUUCCUAGUGUAGCGGUGAAAUGCGUAGAUAUUAGGAGGAACACCAGUGGCGAAGGCGGCUUUCUGGACUGUAACUGACACUGAGGCACGAAAGCGUGGGGAGC
rnacentral:rRNA from 1 species